CCCGUCCACCGAUUGACUAAGGUUUCCAGAGGAAGGCUCGUCCGCUCUGGGUUAGUCGGGUCCUAAGCUGAGGCCGACAGGCGUAGGCGAUGGAUAACAGGUUGAUAUUCCUGUACCACCUAUAAUCGUUUUAAUCGAUGGGGGGACGCAGUAGGAUAGGCGAAGCGUGCGAUUGGAUUGCACGUCUAAGCAGUAAGGCUGAGUAUUAGGCAAAUCCGGUACUCGUUAAGGCUGAGCUGUGAUGGGGAGAAGACAUUGAGUCUUCGAGUCGUUGAUUUCACACUGCCGAGAAAAGCCUCUAGAUAGAAAAUAGGUGCCCGUACCGCAAACCGACACAGGUAGUCAAGAUGAGAAUUCUAAGGUGAGCGAGCGAACUCUCGUUAAGGAAC
rnacentral:rRNA from 1 species